rnacentral:rRNA from 1 species
GGCCAGCAGCCGCGGUAAUACGUAGGGUCCGAGCGUUGUCCGGAGUUACUGGGCGUAAAGCGCGCGCAGGCGGCGGUGCUGGCCCGGCGUGAAAGCCCCCGGCUCAACCGGGGAGAGUCGUCGGGGACCGCACCGCUUGAGGGCGGUAGGGGCUGGUGGAAUGCCUGGUGUAGUGGUGAAAUGCGUAGAGAUCAGGCAGAACACCUGGGGCGAAGGCGGCCAGCUGGGCCGUCCCUGACGCUGAGGCGCGAAGGCGUGGGGAGCGAACGGGAUUAGAUACCCCGGUAGUCCACGCAGUAAACGAUGCCGACUAGGCGUGGGGGGAGUUGACCCCCUCCGUGCCGGAGCUAACGCGGGAAGUCGGCCGCCUGGGGAGUACGGCCGCAAGGCUAAAACUCAAAGGAAUUGACGGGGGCCCGCACAAGC